rnacentral:rRNA from 1 species
GACGAACGCUGGCGGCGUGCUUAACACAUGCAAGUCGAACGGACAGGCCCUGCUUUUGUGGGGUGCUCGAGUGGCGAACGGGUGAGUAACACGUGAGUAACCUGCCCUUGACUUUGGGAUAACUUCAGGAAACUGGGGCUAAUACCGGAUAGGAGCUCCUGCUGCAUGGUGGGGGUUGGAAAGUUUCGGCGGUUGGGGCUGGACUCGCAGCUUAUCCGCUUGUUGGUGGGGUAGUGGCUUACCAAGGCUUUGACGGGUAGCCGGCCUGAGAGGGUGACCGGCGACAUGGGGACUGAGAGACGGCCCAGACGCCUACGGGAGGCAGCAGUGGGGAAUAUUGCACAAUGGGCGGAAGCCAGAUGCAGCAACGCCGCGUGCGGGAUGACGGCCUUCGGGUUGUAAACCGCUUUCGCCUGUGACGAAGCGUGAGUGACGGUAAUGGGUAAAGAAGCACCGGCUAACUACGUG